rnacentral:rRNA from 1 species
UACGAAGGGUGCAAACGUUGCUCGGAAUUAUUGGGCGUAAAGCGCACGUAGGCGGCUUGACAAGUCGGAUGUGAAAGCCCUCGGCUCAACUGAGGAAGUGCAUCCGAAACUGGCAGGCUAGAGUACUAAAGAGGGUCGCGGAAUUCCCGGUGUAGAGGUGAAAUUCGUAGAUAUCGGGAGGAACACCGGUGGCGAAGGCGGCGACCUGGGUAGAUACUGACGCUGAGGUGCGAAAGCGUGGGGAGCAAACAGG